UGGCCAAACCACACCACACGUCCGCGACAGGGGAGGGGAGAACCGGAGGAGGAGGAGGAGGAGAGAGGGAAAAUAAAUAAAAAGGGAAGCCACAAGAGAGAAGCGAAGGCGAGGGGAGGGAAGCGAGCGAGGGAGGGGGAGGAGGAGGAAUAAACCAGCGCGCGGUCGCCUGCCUGUUGGGUGCGGGAUCUCGCCGGAGGGUUCCGCCGCGGAGCCCCGUACGGUGAUCCGGGGCCGGUUGGUGGGGGCGAUCGGAGGCCGCCGUGGAUCUCUGCCUCUGAGAUCUGUGUUCUGGGACGAACCAUGAGCAGCGCAACCACCGGUUGUUAACUCUGUAAAUUACAAGCAACCGAAACGAGGCGCAAGAAGAAUGGUGUUCCAGAAGAGGACGUCGUCGGAGAUGGAGUCGUGCGGUGGAAGCCACGUCGCGGAGAUGCCGCGCGUCCCGAAAUCCGCGAGGGGCAAGAGAUCGGUUAGGAAGAAGGAGAGCCAGGGCCAGGCGAUGUGCGCGUUUGACCUUCUCGCGACGGUGGCCGGCAAGCUGCUCGAUGAGGGCGAGGGCUCGCUGGGGAACAUGAGCGCCGGCUCCCCGGUCCUCGCUGCUUCUGCCAAGGAUGUCUGCGUGAAGCAAGAGCAGUGCGACGAGGAGGGGAAGCACCUCAAGAAUGAUGUGAUGGACCAGGAUAGCUGCAACGAGAGCGCGUUGAUUUCCCACAUUGCGUCUCAGAGACUGGCGGAUCACCAUUCUCGGAAGGGGGAGGAUCUGAAUGAGGUUCCAAAGGCAAAGUCUGAGGCUGUGGACAAGGAACCCUCGAUGAUAAGUUGUACCAAGGCUGACUUGGGUAGUAAUUUCGGGGCGAUCGCGGACAGGUGGUCGCCUGAAUCCGUGGAGUCAGGGGCCUUCACCGGGGAUGCAGCGGCAAAUGUGAUGGCAUUGUCCGCAGCAGCCUUCAACAAGAGCGCCCCUGACAUGUACAAUCUUCUCGACCCCAUGGAUGUCGAUGUGAAGCCGCCUCCUUUGGUCAGCUCUGACAGCACCGGCGAGAUGCCACUAUAUGGCUGCAAAAUUCACAAGUCCGUCUCCUUUCCGAGGGGUCCGAAAGGAGGAGCAGAGUAUUCUGUAGAUAGAGAGAAUGGUGAUGAUGAUGAUAAAUCUUCCGGGUGCACGCAUUCGAGCACCGCCACUAACAGGGGCUUCAGGCCCAAUUGUACAGCUGACCAAAGUAGGGUGAAGAAGUUCCUCGCCUGCAAGUACAGGAAAGUUGCUCCAGCCAGAAUGCACAAAGGAGAUCUUUCCUAUAGUGAUGCUGACCGGAAGCCUUCUUUCCGAAACAAGAAAAUGUAUUAUACGCGGCAAAGGACCCAAAGGAGUACAUUUAAGCGAAGGAAGAUGUUGGAUCGUCAUUCAACUCUAGUAUCUGAAGAAUUUGCAAAAUCAAAUGCAAAGAGAACCACAAAGGUUAAUGCAAGAGAACCACAUGCUGCUUCCUUGGAAGCAAAUAAGGGCAGCAACUCAAUGCCAUUCCAUGGAUCUUGUAAAUCAAACGAUUGCCAUGUGAAACUUAAGAUCAAAUCUUUCAAGGUGCCUGAACUUCUAAUUGAGAUCCCAGAAACUGCUUCUGUUGGUUCACUGAAGAAAACUGUUCUGGAGGCAGUAAAUGCCAUGCUUGGAGGUGGUCUGCGUGUGGGUGUUCUUCACCAUGGAAAGAAAAUCAGGGAUGAUAGCAAAACCUUAAUGCAAGCUGGGAUUGGUCAUGAUGAUAUUCUGGACAACAUAGGCUUUUCACUGGAGCCCAACUGUACACGGCAUUCAUCACAACUUGCAGCUCCUGAAGAUAUCGAAUUCCUAGAAACUGUUGAAACCACUGAACCCCUAGCAAGGAUCGCACCUGCUGACUCAUCCUCGAAGCACGGCGAAGUAGAUGCCUCACAGGAGCUUGCAUUGACACCCUUGACAGCUAAUUACCAGGGAAAUGAUCAUGAUUCAGUGCACUCUCCUGGGGGCAUCUCCUCACCUGAGAAAGCUUCAGCAAACUCGCGAGCUAUUGUUCCAGUUACACCUGUAGAUUCCAGCGCAGGGGCGAUAGUUCCAGCAAACAAGGCGAAGAGAUCAGCGGAACAGGGGCAGCGUCGAAUCAGACGUCCCUUCUCUGUUGCUGAAGUGGAAGCACUUGUGCUUGCAGUCGAAAAGCUUGGAACUGGAAGAUGGCGAGAUGUUAAACUUCGUGCUUUUGACAAUGCCAAGCAUCGGACCUAUGUUGAUCUCAAGGACAAAUGGAAGACGCUGGUGCACACGGCGAGCAUCUCGCCCCAGCAGCGGCGCGGUGAGCCGGUGCCGCAGGAUCUGCUCGACCGGGUCCUUGCGGCCCAGUCCUAUUGGUCCCAGCAGCAGGCCAAGCUCCAGCCUAAGACGCCCCCACUGGCUGAGGCUCGCCUGCUCACCUAAUAACUCCCAUCUCAGUCAAUGGUCUCUUAAGAAACCAUUCCAGCUUUUGUAUAAAGUCAGUAAGUCAGCCAGUCAGCCCAUUCAAAGGAGGUUAAGGAAGAUAGUAGAAAAAUAUAUAUACUACAUAAAAAAAAGGGUUCUCUCUCCUUGUGAAUUUAACCAAAGGAAAGGGUAUUUCUUUGGCAAAUUGUACAUGAUGAUGAUGAUGGAAGAAGAAGAUGAUUCAUUCCAUGAACUGAGAUCUGCAGUGACCACUACUAACUCACAAUUCUCUGCAAUUGUGCUAAAAAAGAAGAGCUUCAGAUUCUUUUGUUCAGUUCAAUUCAUUCUUUGUUAAGAGGAUGAGAAAGGUGGACGGAUAAGGAGGGAGGAUCUGUGCUCCCCUUUUCCUAUUUUUCUUCUUCUGUUACUACUUAGUUGUACUAUUUUCCCUUCACCAAUCUUGUAGCUAUUUUGAUCCCCUCAACAUUGUACUUGAUCAACUAACAAUAUUAAAGGAAUUUUUUAUGCAUACCCAUUGCCCCCC
rnacentral:rRNA from 1 species